GAUGAACGCUGGCGGCGUGCCUAAUACAUGCAAGUCGAGCGAACGGACGAGAAGCUUGCUUCUCUGAUGUUAGCGGCGGACGGGUGAGUCACACGUGGAUAACCUACCUAUAAGACUGGGAUAACUUCGGGAAACCGGAUCUAAUACCGGAUCAUAUUUUGAACCGCAUGGUUCAAAAGUGAAAGACGUUCUUGCUGUCACUUAUUGAUGGAUCCGCGCUGCAUUAGCUAGUUGGUAAGGUAACGGCUUACCAAGGCAACGAUGCAUAGCCGACCUGAGAGGGUGAUCGGCCACACUGGAACUGAGACACGGUCCAGACUCCUACGGGAGGCAGCAGUAGGGAAUCUUCCGCAAUGGGCGAAAGCCUGACGGAGCAACGCCGCGUGAGUGAUGAAGGUCUUCGGAUCGUAAAACUCUGUUAUUAGGGAAGAACAUAUGUGUAAGUAACUGUGCACAUCUUGACGGUACCUAAUCAGAAAGCCACGGCUAACUACGUG
rnacentral:rRNA from 1 species